UGGGGAAUUUUGGACAAUGGGCGAAAGCCUGACCCAGCCAUGCCGCGUGUGUGAAGAAGGUCUUCGGAUUGUAAAGCACUUUAGGUUGGGAGGAAGGGCAGUAAGCGAAUACUUUGCUGUUUUCACGUUACUGACAGAAUAAGCACCGGCUAACUCUGUGCCAGCAGCCGCGGUAAUACAGAGGGUGCAAGCGUUAAUCGGAAUUACUGGGCGUAAAGCGCGCGUAGGUGGUUCGUUAAGUUGAAUGUGAAAGCCCCGGGCUCAACCUGGGAACUGCAGCCAAAACUGGCAAGCUAGAGUAGGGCAGAGGGUGGUGGAAUUUCCUGUGUAGCGGUGAAAUGCGUAGAUAUAGGGAGGAACACCAGUGGCGAAGGCGAGCACCUGGGCUCAUACUGACACUGAGGUGCGAAAGCGUGGGGAGCAAACAGG
rnacentral:rRNA from 1 species